AACGAACGCUGGCGGCAGGCCUAACACAUGCAAGUCGAGCGAGGACUUCGGUUCUAGCGGCGGACGGGUGAGUAACGCGUGGGAAUGUGCCCUUCUCUACGGAAUAGCCGUGGGAAAGUGGGAUUAAUACCGUAGACGCUCUUUCGGGGAAAGAGUUAUCGGAGAAGGAUCAGCCCGCGUUGGAUUAGGUAGUUGGUGGGGUAAUGGCCUACCAAGCCGACGAUCCAUAGCUGGUUUGAGAGGAUGAUCAGUCACACUGGGACUGAGACACGGCCCACACUGCUACGGGAGGCAGCAGUGGGGAAUAUUAGACACUGGGGGCAAACCUGGUCUAGCCAUGCCGCGUGAGUGAUGAAGGCCUUAGGGUUGUAAAGCUCUCUCAGCUGGGACGAUAAUGACGGUACCAGCAGAAGAAGCCCCGGCUAACUCCGUG
rnacentral:rRNA from 1 species